rnacentral:rRNA from 1 species
CAGCCGCCGCGGUAAUACGAAGGGUGCAAGCGUUAAUCGGAAUUACUGGGCGUAAAGCGUGCGUAGGCGGCUAAUUGAGUCGGAUGUGAAAUCCCCGAGCUUAACUUGGGAAUUGCAUUCGAUACUGGUUAGCUAGAGUGUGGGAGAGGAUGGUAGAAUUCCAGGUGUAGCGGUGAAAUGCGUAGAGAUCUGGAGGAAUACCGAUGGCGAAGGCAGCCAUCUGGCCUAACACUGACGCUGAGGUACGAAAGCAUGGGGAGCAAACAGGAUUAGAUACCCCUGUAGUCCCUGUCUCUUAUAA